rnacentral:lncRNA from 1 species
UGAAAAAAAAAAGAGGGAGGGAAACAAGCUAUUAUUAUAACAUCAAGAAAGAGUGUAGCAAAUCAGCCAAUGGUUCUAAAUAUAAAAUCACCCAAGUACUUUUAGAGGCGUAACUAGAAAUAAGAAAUUAAAAUAUAAACAAUUUCUGAUCCUAAAUCCUCAGAAUGGAGAGAAAAGGUGUAGCAAAAUCACCUCACAAGGUAUGAAUGCAGCGAACGACAAAUGAUCCUUGACAAAGGUUCUGCAUAGAAGAGAAAAGGGGCAAUACAAAGGUUAUAGAAACAAAAUCAGAAAAUGAAUAAUGAAUUGAAACUUUACAUGAAGAAUUUGAAACUUAAAACACAAAAAUUGAUAUUUACAUAAAUAAAUAAAAAAUCUUCUCUGGUGAAGUUCUGGAAGGUCAAAUCUGAAAGUAUUUCCCCUUGCAUGUGUGAAAAGGAAGGAGAAGAGGAGGCAUAGAGGAAGGAGAAGAGGAAGGAGAAGAGGAGGCAUAGAGGAAGGAGAAAGGGAGAGAGGAAGGAGAAGAGGAGGCAUAGAGGAAGGAGAAAGGGGGAGAAGAGGAGUGUGAAGGGAGAAGAGGAAGGAGAAAGGGAGAGAGGAAGGAGAAGAGGAGGCAUAGAGGAAGGAGAAAGGGGGAGAAGAGGAGUGUGAAGGGAGAAGAGGAAGGAGAAAGGGAGAGAGGAAGGAGAAGAGGAGGCAUAGAGGAAGGAGAAAGGGGGAGAAGAGGAGUGUGAAGGGAGAAGAGGAAGGAGAAAGGGAGAGAGGAAGGAGAAGAGGAGGCAUAGAGGAAGGAACGGCUAGGGUUAUGGAAGAAAGGAAAAGAAGGUUUAUAUAGUGGGUGAUGGUUUUAAUAUAGUAUACGAUUUAAAUUUAAAUUUUAAUAUAAAAAUGUAUGAAAAGUAAAAGAAAAAAAACUCGGUCGUUAAAAAAUGAGUAUGAAAAAUCUACAUCAUUAUGUUUUUAUUUUUUAUAUAAAUUUUUUAAUAUAAAAAUUUAAUAAAUAAUAGUUUGAACAGUGAAAAAGAGUUACUUUUUCAGUAUACACUAUUUCCUUUAUUAAAAUAUUUAAAAUAAAGAUAUUUACUAUUAAUGUCUAAUAAUGGUAAAAUUCAAAAAAAAUGCCUAAUAAUGGUAGAAAAGUCACAAAUGAGUUGUUAAAAAUAAUUAAUUAUUUACACUACAAGAAUUAAUGCUUUUAGUGGCCAUCAUUUUCGUCAUUAAAAGCUUGAAAAAUCGUCACUAUGAGUAUCUUAUGACGAAAUUGGCAUUCGUCACUAGUCGUCACAAGUACUCAAGUCACUAAUACAUUAGUGACGAUAUUUUCAAAUGUCACUAAUGUUACUUUUUAUUGUGACAAUAAUAUCGUCACUAAUAUUUAUACCCAAUAAUGACAAAAUUAACCGCCACAAAUGUUUUUACAAUUCGCCACUAAAAGAACCCUUCAAGGCCAAAAUCCUAUUUUGUCAUUCAUCAUACUAAUUAGCAACCAAAGACGUAUUAUACAUCCAUUGAUCUGGAUUGAACUAUUUUGAACUUAAAAGGCCUAUCAAGUAUCACUAUUGGAAAAUAAUGCAUAAACAGCAUAAAAUUACACAGUACUAAUGGAGUUAUGGAUAAAGAAAUGGGCAUAGGAUGCAACUGCUUCCCUUAAGCCAGAAGAAGGGUAAAACAGCAUACAUAUGCAGAUAUGCUAAUAAAAAACAACAAGAAAAAGAAUAGCAUUUCAAAAAAACAAAAUUAGAAUUGUGAAGUGCAGAACCAGACAAACAAAACAAGCAAGUUAACAAGUAAACAGCCCUGAUUAUGCGGCAAAUUAAAAGACAAAGAUCACCUUAUUAUGCAGAACAAAUUGACAGACAAAACCAACCUACUCUGCAGCAAAUUAAAGGGAAAAGGUCACCUUACUAUGCAGCAAAAAACAUCAAAAAAAGCUAAAAUUGCUAUGCAACAAAUUAAUACUGAGCAAGGUAAAGCUUUAAAUAAAUGAUUGAGCAAAUUGAAUAUGUCAAUUUAAAUAAAUUAAACAGCAAUUUCGACAACUCCAUGCAUUCCUAGGUUUGUUCUAUUCGAUCAUACUAUUAGAGGGACGGAGGCAAACAAGCUAUUUAUUAUAACAUCAAGAAAGAGUGUAGCAAAUCAACCAAUAGCACCUAAAUAAAUUUAGAGGCAAGUGUAACUAGAAAUAAGAAAUCAAAAUAUAAACAAUUUCUGAUCCUAAAUCCUCAGAAUGGAGAGAAAAGGUGUAACAAAAUUACCUCACAAGGUUUGAAUGCAGCAAACGACACAUGAUCCUUGACAAAGGUUCUGCAUAGAAGAGAAAAGGGGCAAUACAAAGGUUAUAGAAACAAAAUCAGAAAAUGAAUUUCAAGUACACCACAUAUCAAGAGAAACACACCAAUCUAGCAUCAAAGAGUUGCAAACCACAUUACAACAAUAAAAUGAAAUACUAGCUAUUGGCUAUUGCAGCAAGCAUUGCCAUCAAAACACCUUCAAUAAAGAUGCAUAAUAAAAGUAUUAGCUAGGCCUCAACUUGAAAAUUA